rnacentral:pre_miRNA from 1 species
CAAGUACUCCCUCCGUCCGAAAUUACUUGUCAUCAAAAUGGAUGUGUCUAGAACUAAAAUACAUCUAGAUACAUCCAUUUUAAUGACAAGUAUUUUCGAACGGAGGGAGUACAAG